GAUGAACGCUGGCGGCGUGCCUAAUACAUGCAAGUAGAACGCUGAAGGAAGGAGCUUGCUCUUUCCGGAUGAGUUGCGAACGGGUGAGUAACGCGUAGGUAACCUGCCUGGUAGCGGGGGAUAACUAUUGGAAACGAUAGCUAAUACCGCAUAACAGUAGAUGUUGCAUGAUAUCUACUUAAAAGGUGCAAUUGCACCACUACCAGAUGGACCUGCGUUGUAUUAGCUAGUUGGUGAGGUAACGGCGCACCAAGGCGACGAUACAUAGCCGACCUGAGAGGGUGAUCGGCCACACUGGGACUGAGACACGGCCCAGACUCCUACGGGAGGCAGCAGUAGGGAAUCUUCGGCAAUGGACGGAAGUCUGACCGAGCAACGCCGCGUGAGUGAAGAAGGUUUUCGGAUCGUAAAGCUCUGUUGUAAGAGAAGAACGAGUGUGAGAGUGGAAAGUUCACACUGUGACGGUAUCUUACCAGAAAGGGACGGCUAACUACGUG
rnacentral:rRNA from 1 species